GGGUAGAUAGCGAAGCGGUCAAACGCAACAGACUGUAAAUCUGUCGACUUAUGUCUUCGGAGGUUCGAAUCCUCCUCUACCCA
rfam:Chlorobium limicola DSM 245, complete genome.